rnacentral:tRNA from 1 species
GGGUGCUUGAUCUAGCUCGGCUAGGAUGUCGGACUCCAGAUCUUCCAGCAAUUCGGGGACAUCCGAUUGCCGUGGGUUCAAAUCCCACAGCGCCCA